GAUGAACGCUGGCGGCGUGCCUAAUACAUGCAAGUCGAGCGAACAGACGAGGAGCUUGCUCCUUUGACGUUAGCGGCGGACGGGUGAGUAACACGUGGAUAACCUACCUAUAAGACUGGGAUAACUUCGGGAAACCGGAGCUAAUACCGGAUAACAUGUUGAACCGCAUGGUUCAACAGUGAAAGACGGUCUUGCUGUCACUUAUUGAUGGAUCCGCGCCGCAUUAGCUAGUUGGUAAGGUAACGGCUUACCAAGGCAACGAUGCGUAGCCGACCUGAGAGGGUGAUCGGCCACACUGGAACUGAGACACGGUCCAGACUCCUACGGGAGGCAGCAGUAGGGAAUCUUCCGCAAUGGGCGAAAGCCUGACGGAGCAACGCCGCGUGAGUGAAGAAGGUCUUCGGAUCGUAAAACUCUGUUAUUAGGGAAGAACAAAUGUGUAAGUAACUAUGCACGUCUUGACGGUACCUAAUCAGAAAGCCACGGCUAACUACGUG
rnacentral:rRNA from 1 species